CCCCUCCCUGAUGCGCCAUCGGUGUCCCCAUGGUGGGACACGAAAGGCACUGCUGUCCCGGCAGCUCCUCGCAGGCAGGUGGGACAUCUCACAGCUACGGACAAAGUGGGAGUGCAGCCUUAAAACCCAGGGGGGUGCCUGUGGGAACGCUGCCCUGGGAGCAGCCCCUUCCCAGCCCUGCCUCAGCCAAAAGGAGGGGGGAACCAAAUAUAGUCCCUCGGUCCCAUGGGAACACGCACAGACAUCGCCAGCCUGCAUUUCCCUCACCCGUCCCGCAGCUGUCUGCGUUCCUAGAAAACCACCCCCCUGUCCGUCCCCCAGGUUGGAUUUUGCCCAGCUUUGCAGCUUUGCAAACAAAUCUGGGAAUGCUAACAGCGCAGCGGCCAGAGCUGCUUCGGUGUCCCUGCGGUUUAUUUUUCUUGCGGCUGCAGCCGGAGGGGCCACGUCACCCAGAGACCUCAAAUCUGGGGGCAGAGAGAAGGAUCCCACAUUGCAGUUCCCUCCUGCACCGAAGGGAUGCUCAGCGGUGGGUGAAGCUCAGCCGCUCGCUCCCAGCCUCCCAAGGCUGCUGCUUUGUCCCAUGCUGCGGAGCUGCAGCCCAUCAGCCGGGCGUCGAGUCGGCAGGUCCGUCCCACCGCAGCCACGUGGCUGAAAGAGAAGCAGCACAGCAUGGAGAGGGAGAAGCGGCUCCGGUUGUGUCUCAGGGAAGGAAAGAAAUCUCCCGACCUUGGGGAGAGGGAGAGAGGAAGAGAGGGGGAACCCCAUGGGAAAGCACAUACAUGUUUGGGCAGCGAGAACAGAAGUGCUCAUUGCUCAUGAAAACACACAGAAGUUCUUUUCAGGCAUUGGCUUCCAGCAACAAAGCCAGAUUGAUGGAAGGAAAAAAAAAAAAAAAAGUGCUUUUAUUUUUGCGUUCGCCAAUGGAGAAAGCUAAAGAAAAAGAAAAAAGAAAAAAAAAAAGGAUGCAAAGAAUAAUCAGGGGAAUGCAGAGAGUCAGUGGAGGGAGCGGGGUCCCAGGAGCCUGCAGACAAUGCCUGCUGCCCCCGGGGUUUUUAAUUCUUGUGCUCAGGAAAUCAAACAAGCGUGCUAUUAUUUAUUCGGAGUCGGCAUCGGUUUCCGCGUGUUUCAUAGGGCUGUGCCUGGGCGCCGGGCUCGGUGUGUUUGGGGCUGAGCCUGCAGCUGCCAUUGUGCACUGACAUUCGGCCCCAUUGCCCCACGGCUCACGGAUCAGGUGCUGAUUUUGGGGUGCCGAGGGGUGAGCAGAGCCUUUUCCCGAUGCUUUGGUUCUGCACUGGGUGCAGGUGAGGUGCAGGAGCCGAGCGAUGCUCCCUAAGCCCGUGUGCUCCCCUCGUCCCCUCCUCGCCCUCAUCCCCUCCUCAUCCUCACCCCUUCGUCCCGUUCCCCUCGCAGAGCCCCGAGAGGAGCCCUCGGGAUGCCGCUGUGUGAGCUGCAGCUCAAGUGAGCGUUAUUCAGCUCCGCU
rnacentral:lncRNA from 1 species